AUGCUCUCUUCGGCAGCACAUAUACUGAAAUUGGAAAAGUACAGAGAAGAUAUCUGAGCAUGGCCCCUCGAAAAGGAUGACAAACAAAUUCAUAAAGUGUUCCAUAUUUUU